GCCAGCAGCCAUAUCAGCCUGCAGCUCACAACUGACAACCCCUGAAGCUAAGCACAUGUGAGCCUGGUCAGUACGUGGAUAGGAGACUUCCUGGGAAAAACUAAGACUGUUGCUGGAA
rnacentral:rRNA from 1 species